GGUAGGGUACUCAAGCGGUCAACGAGGGCAGACUGUAAAUCUGCUUGCCAUGCAUUCCUUGGUUCGAAUCCAAGCCCUACCACCA
rnacentral:tRNA from 1 species